rnacentral:lncRNA from 1 species
UCUGCCUCAUCACCUCCCCGGUCAUCCUCUACUUCCCCAUCUACUCCAACUACUACAUCUCCACUACCACCGUCAUCCUCUAGUCCUUCCCCUCCUUCUUCUUCUACAUCAACAACUCCAAGAGGUUUAGGGACUCCAUCGCGACCACCACCUUCGAGGAGUUCGGGAAAUCCAUCGCGACCACCACCUUCAAGGAGUUCGGGAACUCCAUCUCGUCCGUCGCCGCCAUCUGAAUCGAGCAAUGGGGUGUCGACAGGACUGGUAAUUGGAAUAGCAAUAGGGGGAGUGGCGAUAUUGUUGCUUUUGAGUUUGUUUUGUAUAUGUUGUAAAAAGAAG